rnacentral:rRNA from 1 species
AUUGAACGCUGGCGGAAUGCUUUACACAUGCAAGUCGAACGGCAGCACGGACUUCGGUCUGGUGGCGAGUGGCGAACGGGUGAGUAAUGUAUCGGAACGUGCCCAGUCGUGGGGGAUAACGUAGUGAAAAUUACGCUAAUACCGCAUACGAUCUAUGGAUGAAAGCGGGGGAUCGCAAGACCUCGCGCGAUUGGAGCGGCCGAUAUCAGAUUAGGUAGUUGGUGGGGUAAAGGCCCACCAAGCCAACGAUCUGUAGCCGGUCUGAGAGGACGACCAGCCACACUGGAGCUGAGACAGGGUCCAGACUCCUACGGGAGGCAGCAGUGGGGAAUUUUGGACAAUGGGCGAAAGCCUGAUCCAGCCAUUCCGCGUGCAGGAUGAAGGCCCUCGGGUUGUAAACUGCUUUUGUACAGAACGAAAAGGUUUCUACUAAUACUAGGAGCUCAUGACGGUACUGUAAGAAUAAGCACCGGCUAACUACGUGCCAGCCGCCGCAGUAA